rnacentral:rRNA from 1 species
UACGUAGGGGGCAAGCGUUGUCCGGAUUUACUGGGCGUAAAGGGCGCGUAGGCGGCCAGCACAAGUCAGUUGUGAAAUCUCCGAGCUUAACUCGGAAAGGUCAACUGAUACUGUGCGGCUAGAGUGCGGAAGGGGCAACUGGAAUUCUUGGUGUAGCGGUGAAAUGCGUAGAUAUCAAGAGGAACACCUGCGGCGAAGGCGGGUUGCUGGGCCGACACUGACGCUGAUGCGCGAAAGCUAGGGGAGCGAACGGG